rnacentral:rRNA from 1 species
AUACGUAGGGGGCGAGCGUUGUCCGGAAUGAUUGGGCGUAAAGGGCGCGUAGGCGGCCCGGUAAGUCUGGAGUGAAAGUCCUGUUUUUAAGAUGGGAAUUGCUUUGGAUACUGUCGGGCUUGAGUGCAGGAGAGGUAAGUGGAAUUCCCAGUGUAGCGGUGAAAUGCGUAGAGAUUGGGAGGAACACCAGUGGCGAAGGCGACUUACUGGACUGUAACUGACGCUGAGGCGCGAAAGUGUGGGGAGCAAACAGGAUUAGAUACCCUGGUAGUCCACACUGUAAACGAUGAAUGCUAGGUGUAGGGGGUAUCGACCCCUUCUGUGCCGCAGUCAACACAAUAAGCAUUCCGCCUGGGGAGCACGGCCGCAAGGUUGAAACUCAAAGGAAUUGACGGGG